UCUCUUCCGUCCUCUCCCGAACAGCCACCGACGUUCCCGAUCUCUUCUUCCCUUUCGCCGUCCACUGUUCUCCGACGCCCCUACCUACAGCCGUCGCACGCUGAAGCCCUUCCUCAUCGUCGUCUUGUGCCUUUCGACAGAGUCUGGUAGCUCGUGUAAGCCUUUGAGCCUCUCCCUCUCCUUUUCGCUCGUUUCGUCGACCGUCGGCCAUCUCUGCCCUCAGCCGAUCGUUAUCGACCGCCCCGACCUCGUCCGGCCAUGUACGCCCAGUCACCGCCGUCACAGAGCCUUUCGCUUCCACCUUAAACCCGCUUCGUGCUGUACACCUGACCCGAGCCAUCCUCUCUUUCUAUCCGACCCGUGAACCGAGCCAUAAACUAAGUUGCGAACCAAGUCGUUGAGUCGAGCCAAGUAGCGAGCUGCAAGCCGAGCCGAGCCACGAAUCAAGAGCUGAGCUGAGUCAAGCCACGAGUCGAAGACUAACUGAGCCGCGAGCCGAGAGCUGAGCCGACUCGAGCUGCGAGCCGAGGAUUGAGCCGAGCUGAGUCGAGUCGUUUUUCUAAGCCAAUCUCCCGGUUCACCGAGCCGCAUAAGUCGUUCUGUCCGUGCUGAGUCUCUGUGAGUUUUGGUGUUAGCGAGGUGACGCUCAGGUUCUGAGGUGUUACGGCAAGUGUAGUUGGAGCCAACUCUCCUCUAUUUGGGUGGAUUCGUUUGGACGUCGAAUUGAAAAAGGAUUUUAGCUACAGUUCAGGUAAGGGUAUGACGAGGGGCAGACCGGUGAGGGGCAAGAAGGAUGCAUGAAGGCCAUAUGGCGCGUCUAGUUUCUUUAUGCUUCUGCUGACAUAUUUGGAAAUGCCACCAAGGAAAGGUGCGCAUAAGAGUGGUCGAGGAGGCCGGACGUGUCCAACCUGAAGUACAACCUGUAGCUCAAGCUACCGACCCUGCUGCUCCAAUUACUCAUGCGGACCUCGCUGCUAUGGAGCAGAGGUUCAGGGAUUUGAUUAUGCAGAUGUGGGAGCAGCACCAGCCUGCCCCACCAGCUUCUGCUCCAGCUUCACUGGUACCCCAGGUCGUGUCGAAUCAGUUGUCGGCAGAGGCCAAACAUUUGAGUGAUUUCAAAAAGUACAACCUCACGAUAUUCGAUGGGUCUUUGGAGGACCCCACCAAGGCUCAGAUGUGGUUAUCUUCUUUGGAGACCAUAUUUCAGUAUAUGAAGUGCCCUCAGGAUCAGAAAGUUCAGUGCACCGUUUUCAUGUUGACAGACAGAGGUACUGCCUGGUGGGAGACGGCAGAGAGGAUGCUAGGGGGUGACGUGGGUCAGAUUAAUUGGGAACAGUUCAAGGAGAGUUUCUAUGCAAAAUUCUUCUCUGCCAGUUUGUUUUGACGAUUUUUGUGAAUUAUAUUUUGGAACUCUUGGGAACGUAAUUAAAAAGAGGGCCUGAAACUGCUUUUUUGAUAUUUUAAAUGUUUUUAAUGAAUCGUAAUCGGUCUUUUAUGAGCUUGUGUGUUUUACUGUCGAGUCUUAGUAGUACGUAGUGACCUCAGCUUAGUCCGGAAGGUUGGGUCGUUACAUCAAAAGAGAAAGAGAUCAAAAGAGAGAGGUUACUCUAAGAUUUUGAUAAGGAAAAGUAUGAAUUAAGUGUUUUGUUGUUGAAGAAUCACUAGGUGAGAAUAAAAUCAUUAGGGAGCUAGGUUUUCUAAAGAAAGGGACUUGAGUUACGUUUUCUAAAGCUUUCUACUUAAUGUCUUAUU